UACGGGAGGCAGCAGUGGGGAAUUUUGGACAAUGGGCGAAAGCCUGAUCCAGCAAUGCCGCGUGCAGGAUGAAGGCCCUCGGGUUGUAAACUGCUUUUGUACGGAACGAAAAGCCUGGGGCUAAUAUCCCCGGGUCAUGACGUACCGUAAGAAAGACCGAUUCCC
rnacentral:rRNA from 1 species